rnacentral:rRNA from 1 species
CGGCAAUAUCAAAGGUGCUGCAUGGUUGUCGUCAGCUCGUGCCGUGAGGUGUCGGGUUAAGUCCCGCAACGAGCGCAACCCUUGCCUUUAGUUGCCAGCAGUUCGGCUGGGCACUCUAAAGGGACUGCCGGUGUUAAACCGGAGGAAGGUGGGGAGUGACGUCAAGUCCUCAUGGCCUUUAUGACCAGGGUUACACACGUACUACAAUGGCCGAUACAAAGGGCAGCGACACUGUGAGGUGAAGCCAAUCCCGUAAAAUCGGUCUCAAGUCCGGAUUGGAGUCUGCGAACUCGACUCCCACUGAAGUUGGAAUCGCCAGUAAUCGUGGAUCAGCAUGCCACGGUGAAUACGUUCCCGGGCCUU